GAAAGCGUGGGGAGCAAACAGGAUUAGAUACCCUGGUAGUCCACGCCCUAAACGAUGUAUACUAGUUGUUGCUAAGCUAGUCUUGGCAGUAAUGCACCUAACGGAUUAAGUAUACCGCCUGGGGAGUACGGUCGCAAGAUUAAAACUCAAAGGAAUAGACGGGGACCCGCACAAGCGGUGGAGCAUGUGGUUUAAUUCGAAGAUACGCGAAGAACCUUACCCGGACUUGAUAUCUAACAAAUCAUCUAGAGAUAGAAGAGUGUCUGCUUGCAGAAAUGUUAAGACAGGUGCUGCACGGCUGUCGUCAGCUCGUGUCGUGAGAUGUUGGGUUAAGUCCCGCAACGAGCGCACGUCAUUAGUUGCUAACAGUUCGGCUGAGCACUCUAAUGAGACUGCCUUCGUAAGGAGGAGGAAGGUGUGGACGACGUCAAGUCAUCAUGGCCCUUAUGUCCGGGGCGACACACGUGCUACAAUGGCAUAUACAAUGAGAAGCAAUAUCGCGAGAUGGAGCAAAUCUAUAAAAUAUGUCCCAGUUCGGAUUGGAGUCUGCAACUCGACUCCAUGAAGCCGGAAUCGCUAGUAAUCGUAGAUCAGCCAUGCUACGGUGAAUACGUUCCCGGGUCUUGUACUCACCGCCCGUCACACCAUGGGAGUUGAUUUCACUCGAAGCCGGAAUACUAAAUUAGUUACCGUCCACAGUGGAAUCAGCGACUGGGGUGAAGUCGUAACAAGGUAACCGUAGGAGAACCUGCGGUUG
rnacentral:rRNA from 1 species